UACGUAGGUGGCAAGCGUUGUCCGGAUUUACUGGGCGUAAAGAGCGCGCAGGCGGUCGUUCAAGUCGCGUGUGAAAGCCCCCGGCUCAACUGGGGAGGGUCACGCGAUACUGAUCGACUCGAAGGCAGGAGAGGGUAGUGGAAUUCCCGGUGUAGUGGUGAAAUGCGUAGAUAUCAGGAGGAACACCGAUGGCGAAGGCAGAUCUCUGGGCCGUAACUGACGCUGAGGAGCGAAAGCAUGGGGAGCGAACAGG
rnacentral:rRNA from 1 species